CCCCUAGAUGUUCUGGGCCGCACGCGCGCUACACUGAACAGUUCAACAAGUCUUAACCUUGGCCGAUAGGUCUGGGUAAUCUUUGAACGCUGUUCGUGAUUGGGAUAGACCUUUGCAAUUAUGGGUCUUCAACGAGGAAUCCCUAGUAAGUGCAGGUCAUCAGCUUGCGCUGAUUACGUCCCUGCCCUUUGUACACACCGCCCGUCGCUGCCCGGAACUGAGCCAUUUCGAGAAAAAUGGGGACAGACUGCUUGUGGGUGCGCAAGCACUUCUUGCAGAUUGAAACCAUCUUGAUCGGUAUGGCUUGAACCGGGCAAAAGUCGUANCA
rnacentral:rRNA from 1 species